CUCGGACGUGUUUGUUGUGUUGGUGCCUGGUGGAGUAUUCUUCAUUGAAAUAUCGCACUUAUCUUAUGGCUCUGCGGUUCAAACAGACCGUCCAUGAAUGCAGUUUAUUCGUGUGGAUCAAUUGAGACAGCGUGCAGAGACUUUGGGAGAAACCUCAGCAUGACGGAUGUCCUGUCUGUGGGUUUGGCUGGAGAGGACUGAGGUGGAGAGGUCUUUCUCUGGGAGGAAGACGUGGCCUGAUGGAGGAGGACCAGGCCUGAUGGAGGAGGACCAGGCCUGAUGGAGGAGGACCAGGCCUGAUGAAGAAACCCCCUAACUGCAUCUGUGAGCACAUACUAGGCUCAGCUGUCACAAACAAAUGAUGGUCCUGUUUGACUUUGUGUUCACAAUAAAAGUGUAGUUUCUUA